rnacentral:sRNA from 1 species
UCAGCUCGAGAAGGGUGGCGGCCUUGCCGGUGCCCAGACAAGGGAAGACCCAUGAACCUUACAUGUGAAUUAUCCUUGGAGUCUGUUUAGCGGCAGGAGGAGACCUAGGUGCUGUACUAGGACUACUUUUCUGCCACCAAAAGGCACCAUGAUUAUGUUGGGGGUUGCCAAUCCUCAUGGCCUAGCCAUGUAUGUCGAAACAUAGCGCAUGCAAGGAAGAUAGCAGAAGGAAUGUACGCGGCUAUCGAUAUUUAAUUUCAAAUCUAGGAAAUCCCAGCGGAUUCACAUCCUUAAACCGGCAUGACCUCUUUUAGGCUCGAUCUCAUACCACGGGUUGGAGGUAUCGAACAGACGCCAAACUUUUUUCAUAAAAUUGGAGUCAAUACGACCUGCCCGCGUUCGAUCAUGACCAAUCAGUCGGGUGUAGUGGCUGUCUGGUUUGGCCAGUUCAUAUUCCCUCUGCGGACGGAUGGAUGAUACCAGGCUAGCAAAGUAGCGUGUGGUUCUUGGGAGACAGUCUGUGGAAUUUUGAUAAGAUUACAUAUUAAAUACGUUCGGCUGGACGAUUUCAGUCGC